GACUUUACCUGCGUACGGAAUUGUAAAAAAUAUUCCCUGGUUCUUUUGCAGACUGGAAAGCGGGCCAGGAGCCCUUCGCCUGCAGGGGCCAGCGAGAGGCCUGCUGAGCGCAGGAGCAGGGCCGAUGAGAAUGAGACGGAGGAGAGGGGUGUGGGUGCGGGGGUCCUGCCGACUCCCCAUUUGCGUGGUAGGAGCGGCAGCAGCAGCAGCAGCAGCAGCGGCAGGAUGAGCAGGAGCCGCAGGAGCAGCAGUAGCAGCAGUGGGAGGAGCGGCAGAGGGAGCAGUAGUCGCAGCAGCAGCAGCAGCAGCAGCAGCAGCAGCAGCAGCAGCAGCAGCAGCAGCAGCAGCAGCAGCUGCAGCAGCUGCCACCGGCGAGCCCAGAAAAUGGUGAAAAUGGUUGAUGCCUCCACCCAGACGAAGGAGGGACCGUGGGAGUGCCACGCGGUCGUCGCCGGCACGAGUCAGGACGACGAUGUCGUCGAUUUAAGUGUCAAACCGGUCGAUUUGACAUCGCAUCCGGUGGCGGACGACGCCGAGCCGCUUCAGGAGGAGAUGCGUGCCCCCUCUCCUCCCUCUGAUGAUACGCCGCCCAACAGCCCUCUCGACCUCUCGGAGGCUGUCGAGCAGCGCCCCCAGGAGGAGGCCCCCACCGAACCUCCCCGUCAUGUACCAGAUUGUGAUCCUACGAAGAGGGUGUUGACGCGCCCGCUGCUGCCCCAAGCGGCACCGAGGCCCCGCGGUGCGCUGGUGCAGGGAUACCAUCAAAACCCAGCGGCGAGAGCGUCAACAUCAGGUCCACGACGUGCCGGGCCACGGCCGCACCGCCCCAGUGGCCCAGCCAUGCCCCUGCGGCCUGUACAACAAAGGGAAGUGGUGAUGGUCGAGCCUCAUCACUUCCCGAACAAGCCAAAGGGCUGCCGGGCGAGAACAAAAAAUAAGCGCGAAAAAGAAAAUGU